rnacentral:rRNA from 1 species
GACAAACGCUGGCGGCGUGCUUAACACAUGCAAGUCGAGCGGGGACAGAGAGAAGCUUGCUUUGAACUAUUCUAGCGGCGGACGGGUGAGUAACGCGUGAGCAACCUUUCCUUCACUGGGGAAUAACACAGGGAAACUUGUACUAAUACCGCAUGAGACCACAGAGUCGCAUGGCUUAGGGGUCAAAGAUUUAUCGGUGAAGGGUGGGCUCGCGUCCGAUUAGGUAGUUGGUGAGGUAACGGCCCACCAAGCCGACGAUCAGUAGCCGACCUGAGAGGGUGAUCGGCCACAUUGGGACUGAGACACGGCCCAA